GAAGCCAGGCCAAGAAGAAUCCCAGGACUGGAAGGCCUUGUGGGACGUCCCAGGUUUGUCUUGUGUCAAUAGCACUGAUACUCAAUCUCCUACUCCCAUCUGUGAGCAUGCAGACCCUACUUGCCUUCCCACAGCCUCCCUUUUCAUAUUUUUCAUGUUUCUUUAGCUCUGUCUUCAAGCCUUGUUGCUCCCGCAAAAAAACCUGCCUCUUCCUCCAGUCCUCCCAAGCAGGGGGAACAGUCCUGACACCUUUCCAAGCCCUGGUCCAUGGACAUUGUGCCCCCUUCUCCCUGCCCAUGGUGACCUGCUCCAAAACCCUCAAGGAGAAGGGAGUGUAUGUCAUUUCCUCCCUGUAAAGUAAAGAUAAUUUUGCAGGGGACUGUGUGGAUGAAAUGACAUGAUGCAUGGAAAUCCCUUAGCGUGUGCCUGGCAUGUAAACUGCAGGUGUCAUCAUUAUUACUGAGGAAUACUGAGUCCCGAACAUGGCUGUCUCAUUGGUGGACUGGGGUCUCCCCCAGGGCAUUCAUCUACUAUGUGUUUAUUGCACCCUUUUUCCAUGUGAGGCACAUGCCAGGGACUGGGCACAUGGUAUGAACAAGACACAGGUCAUCGGUGUCCUCUUGAGCUCCCUGGCUUGGCAGCAGAUGCAUACCUGGGAAGGAUGCUAGGUCAUCCGGGAACUCUACCUCCUUCAAAUCCCUAAGGACUGUGCUCCCAAUCCGCUUACGCUCAAGGAAGAACUGCCUGGAAGCCCUCCCUGGUACCAUACCCCAGCCGAUGAGUAUGUACCCCCAGAAGUACUUCCGCUCAGAGAAGAAGGAGACGGCAAGCAGGGUGUACAGGAAGGCCCAGAACCAGCCUGCUGUCAGGAUCAGAACAAAAGAGGAGGACUGCAUAUGUAUGGACCCACUCCAGAUGGCACGGGGACGGGGGGAGUAGGAAAAGUGGCAUGAGACCAGGCCCACAGAGUAUGGCUGUGCAAGUUGUUCACUCUACAAGGGCACCUGGCCGGGAGUCCCUCGGAUUGCUCCAGCCUCUUUGACCACUUUCCUUUGCCUUUCCACUUCCUUGAGAGAUGAGGAAAUGGAGGCACAGACUGAUUAGAAAACCAGCUCAAGGUCAUGUUGCUGCUCUCUCAUUCCUGUUGAGGGCUCUCUGGUGGAGCCUCUGUCUCACAGGUCACCUGCAGGCCAACACUCCCAGAAGCAGCUAGCACCAUGGUUGACCUCGUCCAGGUCCAGGGAAGGCCUCCCUCUCCAGGACUCCUUUAGAUUUCCCCAGCAUCCAGACCUCACCUGCCUAAGUGCUGUUGCCCUGGAAGCCACAGUGAGCACGAGCUCCAUCUUGCACCUUUACCAGCCAAUGGGGGUAAAGACAUUAGCUGCUCGCUGGACAGUCCCGUCAGACACAGACAUGAAACUCCUGCGAGAAGACCAAGCCCUGGAUAAUAUCACCACUCAUCCUGUGGCACUUCAUUACAUUCCGGCUGGGGAUAUUUGAAUAUUAGAUAUUAAGCAAUUCCUGUCAAUUUUGUUAGGUGUGUAAUGACAGUAUCAUAGUUAUAUAGAAGAGUGUCCUUUGGUUUUAGAGAUGCAUUCUGAAAUGAUUUGGGGUAAAAGGUCAGGAGGUUUAUAAUUUACUUUAAAAUACUUCAGCCCAAAAGCAAAUGAAGCAUAUAUUAAUUGUUAGAUGUUAACAAUUGUC
rnacentral:lncRNA from 1 species